rnacentral:rRNA from 1 species
UGGCUCAGGAUGAACGCUAGCUACAGGCUUAACACAUGCAAGUCGAGGGGCAUCAGGAAGAAAGCUUGCUUUCUUUGCUGGCGACCGGCGCACGGGUGAGUAACACGUAUCCAACCUGCCCUUUACUCGGGGAUAGCCUUUCGAAAGAAAGAUUAAUACCCGAUAGCAUAAUGAUUCCGCAUGGUUUCAUUAUUAAAGGAUUCCGGUAAAGGAUGGGGAUGCGUUCCAUUAGGUUGUUGGUGAGGUAACGGCCCACCAAGCCUUCGAUGGAUAGGGGUUCUGAGAGGAAGGUCCCCCACAUUGGAACUGAGACACGGUCCAAACUCCUACGGGAGGCAGCAGUGAGGAAUAUUGGUCAAUGGGCGCUAGCCUGAACCAGCCAAGUAGCGUGAAGGAUGAAGGCUCUAUGGGUCGUAAACUUCUUUUAUAUAAGAAUAAAGUGCAGUAUGUAUACUGUUUUGUAUGUAUUAUAUGAAUAAGGAUCGGCUAACUCCGUGCCAGCAGCCGCGGUAAUACGGAGGAUCCGAGCGUUAUCCGGAUUUAUUGGGUUUAAAGGGAGCGUAGGUGGACUGGUAAGUCAGUUGUGAAAGUUUGCGGCUCAACCGUAAAAUUGCAGUUGAUACUGUCAGUCUUGAGUACAGUAGAGGUGGGCGGAAUUCGUGGUGUAGCGGUGAAAUGCUUAGAUAUCACGAAGAACUCCGAUUGCGAAGGCAGCUCACUGGACUGCAACUGACACUGAUGCUCGAAAGUGUGGGUAUCAAACAGGAUUAGAUACCCUGGUAGUCCACACAGUAAACGAUGAAUACUCGCUGUUUGCGAUAUACAGUAAGCGGCCAAGCGAAAGCAUUAAGUAUUCCACCUGGGGAGUACGCCGGCAACGGUGAAACUCAAAGGAAUUGACGGGGGCCCGCACAAGCGGAGGAACAUGUGGUUUAAUUCGAUGAUACGCGAGGAACCUUACCCGGGCUUAAAUUGCAGUGGAAUGAUGUGGAAACAUGUCAGUGAGCAAUCACCGCUGUGAAGGUGCUGCAUGGUUGUCGUCAGCUCGUGCCGUGAGGUGUCGGCUUAAGUGCCAUAACGAGCGCAACCCUUAUCUUUAGUUACUAACAGGUUAUGCUGAGGACUCUAGAGAGACUGCCGUCGUAAGAUGUGAGGAAGGUGGGGAUGACGUCAAAUCAGCACGGCCCUUACGUCCGGGGCUACACACAUGUUACAAUGGGGGGUACAGAAGGCAGCUAGCGGGUGACCGUAUGCUAAUCCCAAAAUCCUCUCUCAGUUCGGAUCGAAGUCUGCAACCCGACUUCGUGAAGCUGGAUUCGCUAGUAAUCGCGCAUCAGCCACGGCGCGGUGAAUACGUUCCCGGGCCUUGUACACACCGCCCGUCAAGCCAUGGGAGCCGGGGGUACCUGAAGUACGUAACCGCAAGGAUCGUCCUAGGGUA